rnacentral:lncRNA from 1 species
AGUAGCUGAAAAUGAAACUAGAACAACGUAAAUAAUGUCGGUGGCAGACACGUUAGUGUUGGGAAUUGAUAAUUUUGUGGCAUGCACUGGGUGUAUAAAGUGUACAUUUUGGAUCCUUUUUAUUGGAAUCAUACUUCAAAUAGUUGGUUUUACAGGAAACACGUGGUCAGUUUCAUCCACAUCCCAACAUGGACUUCAUUAUCUAUGUCAUCGUCCUACAGAUAUGGAUGUAUCAGUACUGUGUUGUGACUUAUUUGAUACAGGUGUGUGUAAAAUUAAACAUAUUCGAUAUCGAAUUCUAAAAUACAAUGUAAAUUGAGUAAGAAAUUAAUAAUUGUAAUUAUAUUACAUAAAUAUAAUAUUUUUAUUUCCUCAUGUAUAUAUCGUUAUGCUGUGCUCUCUUAUUAUACUACUGUGAUUACUUGUAUCACACUAUCACAUGUUGUUUAGUUGGUUUAACCAUGUUCGAGUGGAACUUCCAUCUGGUCAGGCAACUAAAUAUCGAAACAAAAUGCAAUGCCAAGCAGUGGCGGAUCAAGAUUUUUUAAAAGGGAGCCUACUGACUGCAUAAGCUUGGGCUCUAAUCAAACUUCAGUGAUUCAUAUAACCAACCACAUUUUUUCCCAAAAAGGGGAAGCUGGUCACCCUUGGCUCCCUCCUAAAUCCACAUCUUGUAUGAAUAAUAUUACCCACGUUACAAAUUUAGAGACAGGGAAAGAGAUAGAGAUAGGGAAAUGUUGUAUGCCGGUAAUGAAACACCUAUCAGAACAUUGGACGAGGAUGUAAUAAAAUAUUAUAUAUAACAUUAUUUCUUCUAUAAAACCCAUACUAUAUAGUUAUCUUUAAAAAUGCCCGAGCAACGAGCGACAAUCCUUGAAUCAGAGGCUUCUCGCUUGUGACAGGUACCUAACGAAUGUGGUGGCGAAGAAUAUUAAACAGGCUAAAUAAAACCGUAAAAUUUGUUUAAGUUUGACGUUUGGUCACGUUGAAAUCUUAAAUAUUAUAACCUAUGCCGUUCGGGUUUAUAUUUAUUAUGACACAGUUCAAAUUCGAUGUAUCAUAGCUAGACAAAUUUGGGGCUUCCUUUCAAUAAUACACGUGAAUCAUCUGUAACAAAGUGCAAGUGUUACCUCAAAACAACAUAAAGGGGUAGUAUUUAAAUGUUUGCUAGUGUCUUAUUUUCCACUAAGGAGGCUCGAGGGAACAGAAAUUUCAGAAAAAAAAUUCAAAAUUUAUUUUUCAUUACACAUUUUAUUUGUUACCCUUAGUAGUUGUUACUUUAUCAUAUGGUACAAAAAUCAUUAAAAAAAAUCAAUUCAUGUUGUCCCCAGAUGACUUUUGAAAUGAUUAUAAUCAUUGAGAUCGCUCCAAAUUAUCUCCCUUUGGUGCAAAAAUGCCAUUUUUGGCAUUAAAAUUGAAAUAUCUUUUUUAACUCAACGGUGAGCUAUAUUUUGUUUAUAAUUUUCAAAUAAGCUGUACUUAAACUAAACUUUUGUAAAAUUUGAGCGAUUUCUGUAAUUAAGUUCUUUUAUCAUUUCGAUAUUACCUCUUUUUUCUAUUAGUUCAACAGAAAAAAAAGUCCCUCUACGAAAAUGUAUCCUUCUUUCGAAGCCAUAUUGUGAGCGAAAAUAAACGGUGACCCCCUGUUUUUAUUGUUUUAUUUUAUAAAGUAUAAGAUAAAGUUCUUUUAUAGAAAAAUAUAGCAAAAUCCUAUGUUAACAAAAAAAUGAUUUAGACCCGCGCGCCCCCUUAACCUUGUAUAGUUGUGUUAAACAGCACAUGAUUCGAAUUUACUGUAAAGAUUAAAUUUUGAAAUAUAAGACACUUUGCAAAUGUUUUCGUUUUCAUUUUACAAUGUGUUGUGCUGCACUAUGUUUCAGUGUUGUAGUAUGCGUCUCGCUUGGUUGAUUAUCAUUUGGAAUACGGCAAGUACAAAGCACAAAUUUAAUUAUAUACAUUUAUUGUGAACGGGAUAUCUGCUACUUGGUUGACAACUACUGUUGCAUCAAAUAAUAAGUUCAUUCAUAAUCAUAAUUCAUAACAACUAAUGUCUCUAAACAUUCUGCUAUUUGAAAAUACGUGUUUAGUCUCUCAAUGCAUUGUUUUGAAUUACAUUUUGUACAAACAGGUUGGUUGACUGCAGCAUAUGUUUGUCAAGUUGUGGGAAUCGUCAGUUCAACAGCUACAUUCAUAUCCGUUCUGCUGUUCACAUGUUCAUCAAGGACAAGAGGACAAAAAUAUACAAGAAGAAUAUUUCAGAAUUUAGCUUUAUUCACAGGUAAUUGUUACAACUUACAAGACUAAUUUAUAAUGUAAACAAAUAACAACUAUGUUUUAAAAGCACAAGAUCAUGCUUUCGUUGUGAUGUUAAUUGCGGACACUCAAGACCAAGUACAAAAUAAACUUCAAGUUAGGAAAUCAAAUAAAGAAAAAACAAAAGGAUCAUAGAAAUGAUAAAUAUGACAGCAAAUACCAUAUAAGAUAUAAGGAUGUGAUACUAUUGGCAUUGAAAAUCCACCAAGUCCAAAUGCAGUUGAUGAAAGCAGUUAUAAGCAAUCGUAAGGCCUUCAACGGUGGAAAAAAUAUGCCUUACAAUUCCUGACAUGCACAAUUUAAAACUUUUCAAUAUUGAAAAACUAACGUACUUAUGUAUAACAAAACAAUAAACACCAUACAAAUAUGACAGACAUAAACCAACGAUAAACACUGAAAUACAGAACUAUUCAUAUUUACUAAACUGGUCAGAGAGUUCGCAGUUUCAUGAUAGUAUAACUAUAUUUAAUUAAGAAUUAUUACAGUGCUGAAAAAAUAGUAUUUCACUUUGUUAUAGGUACAAUUAUAGGUUCAAGUGCUGCAAUCUACGCUGGUUAUUACUGGAAGAACCACAUUCUUCAAGACCACCAUCUUGGCACUUCAUUUACAAUUGUUGUUCUUGCUUGUCUCUCUUUCUUAACCGUGUGGUUAAUAAUAAGUGUGAAUGGAUGCACAGGUAACUAACAAAUAUGAUACACGGCAUAUGUUCUACUAGAUAGCCGACAAAUUUCCUUGGUACAUUACAAAUAUGUAAAUGGAGCAAAUCUAUCAGCUGUUCGAACAAGGAUAAUUUUCAAUAGAUACGAUGUUCCUUUUUCCUUUAUAUUUUCAAUAUGAAUGAUCGCUGCUAGAGUGUUGUACCAGCUGUGUUCUUGCCAACUGGGCCAACCAUAUAUUUUUAAACAUCUGCUAAGUUGCAACUUUUAUGAGUAAGAGUACUUGUAAACUUAGAGCCAAAAUGGACUAAUGUUUCUGUGAAAGACGACAUGACACCAUGCAGACUCGUAUCGUGUGAACAAGGAACGUAAAUAUCCAGACGAGUUUUAAUAUGUUCUAUCGAGUAACGUUUGAUUAACUACUUUUUGAGAUAAGAAUAGUAGGUUCAUAUUGUUUUCUUAUCCCAGGCAUAGCUUACCUUAGCCGUAUUUGGCACAAUUGUUUGAAAUUUUUGGUCCUCAAUGCUCUUCAAUUUUGUACUUUUUGGCUUUAUAAAUAUUUUGAUCUGAGCGUCAAUAAUGAGUCUUAUGUUGACGAAACGUAUUAAAUUAUAAUCCUUGUACCUUCAAUUUGAUAAACUGUUCAUAUCCCAAAAACCUAGUUUCAAACCGCUAUUUAUUUAUGGCAUGGUCCAAAGUAAGGCAUUUUAUUGGUGGUUGUCUUUUAUAAUGCCUAAUGAUUUUUAUGUUUAGGAGUAUGUUGUUGAAAUAAGAUUCUGUUUAAUUUAAUCACAACUGUUACUAGAUUUGGAACUAUAUAGAUAAAGACCUAUGUAUAUUGCUCAAGAUCAUGUUUCUCUCCAGAGUUUAGUUUGUUAAUGCAUAGCUGUUUUCCUGGCGCCACCCUACAUUUCAUAUUCGUACUUUAAUCUGUACUAUCGCCUUGGAAAAUUAUAUCACGUAUAGAAGUUUCACAUUUCCAUCAUCCGCUAUAUUUGUAUCAAAAAAUGAAAUGUUACAGUUGGUGAGUGGUUUCAAUUAAAUUCUUAGUUGUCUUUCUUACAUUCGAUAUUGUUUAUUUUAUACAAAAUUCAAACAAGAAAAUACAAAAAAUACAUUUCCCAUUAUAUAUUAGUGUUACAUUUAUUUUGAUAGGAUACUUUGAGGAAGCUCCGCCAUCUUGCCCAACUGCACAAACGCCUUUGCUUUCUUCUGCUUCCUAAAGAGAUAGGACCACAAGUAAUACUUCUACAAUAGGACAAAUACCAACAUGUGCUAUCUGUGUUGAAAAUCAACGUGACGUGAUAUUUAACUGUGGACAUUUGGUAUGCUGCAAUAUAUGUGCAACAACAUUACAAAACUCGGGAAGUUAUAUCUGCCCAAGUUGUAGAAGACCAAUAACAUCACAAAGACGUGUGUAUAUCUAACUAUUGAUUCAAAAUGAAUAAUUUGUUUUGUACAUGUAUGAUUUCUUUUUACAUUUUGCUUUGUAUAAGUAAUGGAUUUAUCUGUUUUUUGUGAAUAUCAUUCGAUAGUUUAUCGUGCCACAAGAUAUUGCCAAUGAAAGGGUAAACAUAGUGUCCUUUUGGCACAUAGUUUUUAAAUACCCAAUUUGCAAUAUAUCUAACCAUUUUUGAUUGUUUAUUAAGGCAUACUGUACAGUUUUUAUCCCACAUGAUUUUUUCACGAAUAUUUUGCAUACAAUCUAAUUUUCACCUAGCUUUUUCAAAUAUGCAAUAAAAUAUACCUUGAUGCACUUUUAAAGAUAAUUGGGAUCACAAUUUUAAACAUUAAUUACUUAAAGUUUUGGUUUCUUUGACAUUUCUAUUCUUCAUACAGUGUCAAGUCAUGGGUCAUUUAAAAAAAAAGAUGGGUCCAUGAACUCGUUUUCAAACACUUUUCCCGACAUGUUUCAAUAAUAAUAUUUACAUUGAAGUUAAACGAGUAAAGCAUACAUGGCUAAAAUGGCUGCGAUUUCACCAAAAAUUUUACUCUGAGUAUCGACAAACCUGUGCAUCUAGAAAAGUUUUUAAGCAUAACAUACCCAAGAUAAAUAAAUAAAGGCAACAGUAGUAUACCGCUGUUCAAAACUCAUAAAUCUAUGGACAAAAAAAAAACAAAAUCGGGGUAACAAACUAAAACUGAGAGAAACGCAUUAAAUAUUAGAGGAGACCAACGACACAACAUUAAAAUUAAACACACAGCAACGGACUAAGCAUUAGACAAAAUCCGAUGAGAAUAACCAAUAUAACAUCAAAACCAAAUACAUGAAUUUGGGAUAGAAAAGAACCGUGACACGUCACGUUAAAAUUAAAAAUUCAGCCAUUUUAGCCAAAGGGUCCACAGGAACCUUAACCAUGCUAAUCAUCAAGUUAGAGAACCAUUCAGAGAUAUACUUGAGAAUCACAAAUUGACACAAUUUUACAACGUUCAUUUAAUAAGAAAUUUAUAGUUACCAGUAUAUAAUAUAUCAACUUUUAAUGUUUGAUUAACCACAGAUGUUUGCGAAAAAUAGGAGACGAAAUAUUAUAAAGAUAUAGUUUUUUGAAAGGAAAGGAAAAGUAAAAUAAUUUUAUUUAAGUUUUAUUUUAAAUUUUAAUCUUUUCCAACCAUUUCUUUGAGAAGCGUAAUUGCUCAAUUCUAAUGAUCAGUAAUGCAGUAUUUGAAGAUUUGAUAUAACAUGGCAAAAUAAAUUUUCAUCAAAAUGAAAUAUUCGUUUCUUGCCGAAAAGGAAAAAAAUCAAAAAGACUGAAAACUAAAGCUUAAAAAUUUGGGGUCACUAUAGGACCUUUGUUUAUACAGGAGGUCAUAUUUUAAUCAGAUCAGAAGGAACUGUUCCUUUAUUUGUUAGGAGUAUUUUCCUGGAACUAGUCCGAAAUAAAGUAAUGCUGAAUUUUUCGAGAACAUGUGAGAAAGAUAAGAAUGAUAGCUUUCAAUCUUAACCUCUGUAAUUAAGAAAUUCCUGACAUCACCCAUGUGCUGAAAAAUAGGACGCUCGAAUCAAUAAAAGUUAAUAAAAAAAAGAAGAAAAAAGGCCAAAAUUGCGAACAUAGUUGUAGAGCAUUGAGGACCAAAUAUUCUGUAUGUAGAUAUCAUUCAGAUUGAAAUAAACAAUUAAUUUCCCCUUAGGCAACAAUGAUAGCCUUUUUGAUAUGCAGAAUUUAGAAAGUUGAUUUUUUCAACAAAACUUUGCUAGAAUUACAGAAAAGUUAUUCGGACAGUAUUUUUUGGUCCAAAAAAUAUAGGUUCGCGUUGCUUUUCUUAACGUAUUUUGUACUUACAUGUAUCUCCCAUGUCUAUCAAUUUUGAAUUUAAAAAUACGUGUCUCGUCCUAGCGUUGAAAAGACAUUUCAUUUCCGUUAAGACUAAGGAAAAUAAUUUGUUUGGCCUAUAAUAUAAUGCAGAAUGCACGAAGUCUCUAAUAAUAAAAAAAAAUAACGGGCGCACAUAUCAACCAAUCAGGAUUAGCUAUACUUUAAAUGCUGAAUACCAUGUUAUGCUCAUAAAAUGGCUGCGCCCAUACAAUCUAAUGGUGUAUUGUAACCUUCACGUAAACAAUCUUAGUUUUUUGAAAACCGCAAAAAAAAAACUAAUUUAUUUUUUGUUUGUUUUUUCUUUCAUUUUCGGUAACGAUAGAAAUAUCUCGAUUAAAUAAAAAAUUAUACUGCUAUGAAAUAUAAAAUCUUCAUAUACUUUUUGAAUGAUUUAGAGCAUAAACUUUGAGCACGCAACUCACGUUAAUUGUAAGAAAGAUUGAAAUCUAAAGUAAAACGUGAACAAAAUUUAAUUGUUUCCUCUCUGAAAAGGGUAAUGCAUUUAUUGGUCCGUCCCUUAUUAUUUGCAAAUGAGACAUCUGUGGUCAAUCAAACAUUUAAAAGCGUCAUAUCACGUAAUUUUUAUUAGUAGAACGUUUUAGCAUAAUGUCAAUUUUGGAUUUUCAGACAUAUCUCUGAAAGGUUCUCUAACAUGUUGAUUUUCUUUUUAAAUUUAGUGGUCGACAUGAUUGGUCGGUAGCUUUAUUGGUCGCUUGAAUUAGUAACUAGCUUGAGUCUGCUACAGUAUGUCUAUGAUUUUAAGUCUGACUGUGUAAUUGGGUUAAAAACAAACACCAUACAACAUAAUUACAAACCUAAUAGUUCGUAGUUCUUUAAUGCUGUUUUUUGUGUACUGUCCUAACUUAUUUAAGGUAUUCGUUGUUAUUCUGUUGUUAACAUGUCGAAAUGUACUAUUAUAUUAUUUUUUAAUGUAUUUCUCUGUCCUGGGUGUUCUUGCAUUAAUUUGUACUGUAUUCCUGUCAUGUCAUGUUGUCAUAUUACCGGUAUAUUUAACAUUGCAAUAAAGCGCGAUGUUUCGCUAACAAAAAAACCCAAGGUUCAACCCACCAGUUUUCUUCUUCAAAUGUCUAGUACCAAGUCAGGAAUAUGGCAGUUGUUAUGAUCUAUGUGUGUUGCAUUGUCGUUUGUUUUUUUUUUUGUUGCACUUCAAUGUUUCUGUUGUUUCGUUGUUUCUCUCAUAUAAUUGAUGUGUUUCCCUCGGUUUUGGUUUAAUACCCUGAUUUGUUUUCUCUCAACCA